rnacentral:lncRNA from 1 species
UCAUUUUAGAGUUUUAUUAUCACAUUUAGGUGUUAUUAGGUGUUACAUUUGUACAUAUUGCAUACAUAGGGGCUGGAAUGCACAAUUAGGAGUUUUGGGGCGAAAUCAAGGACCAAACUGUACAAAAUAGAAGUUCUGGGGCCAAACACGAAAAGGAGAAAAUAUCAGGGACCAAAUGUGCAAAUAUGCAAAAGAUGGCUAUGGUUGGGCCGUGAGUUUUAGAGCGUUCGAUGUGGAGAAGACGAACUGCUCGAUCCUUCUGGCUUGGUCCAAGAUUGGUGCCUUCGGUCCGUAAAGCUCGCAAUGACCGCUUUGAGAAGAUAUGUGUCGCUCGAUUCAUCAGCCUCGACUCACCCCUUUUCCGUGAAGCAUGAAACGACCGAUGAACUCGUACCGGUCUGCUCGAUUCAGCUCUCUCGGCCUAAGCCUCAGCCCGACCAGCCUUAAUCGGCCACUUCAAGAAUCUGAAUGCUCGAUGGUGUCCUCUCGGUUCGAAGAGCAACUCCGACGAGCAGACGCGAAGGCGAGACCAGAAGCUCUGGCUUGGACGCGGAAGAGACGAGGGCGAGCAGAUGCGGUGAAGCGACGGAGGAGCACGAGCUGGUGCAGCAGAGACGUUGGCGGAGCUCGAGCCUGACCGUAGAAGAGAAGAAGAAGAAACGCAUACGCAAAACGAGAUUUUACAAAACGCUGCGUUUCAAAACGCCAAUCGCAGCAAAUAGCCUUCAGAUUCUGAGACCUAGCGUUUAGCGAUUGAACCUUAUUUUUAUUAUCUAUAUAUAUGUUCUUAAGGGUAAAAAAAAAGCCAAAGCUACCUAAGCCACAUUUUCUCUCUUCUUAUAUCUAAAAACUCUUGUUAGUUCUUGAUUUAAAUCUAAG